UUGUGAACCUAGGUUGUUGAUGUUUGAGAUAUGGCAUGAUUAAAUGAACCUUGCGCCAUUCUGCCUAAAGUACUUCGGAAAUUUAUCUUGAAAAACAAUGACCUAGCUAGCUUCUCAAUGAUAUGCCUCCAUCCUAACAAAUCCAUAUGUUGAUCUUAUUGAAAAACCUAUACAAAUAUGCUGCUUGCUAUCAUGUUGAGCUUUGCCAAAUUGUUGUGAUCCUUAUGGAAUAUUCUUCAUUCUUUCAUGAUCAAGAUCAUGUACACUUCACCAUCACAUACUAGACUUCUACACCGGAAGCUAGUAACAUCCCAUCCAUCCAUCCACCAAAUAAAGCUCCAUAUGAGGUGUGACCUUUCUCUCCAAAUGUAUCCUUGCAAUAGAGACAUGGACUAUGCAAAAAGAAAAAAAAGCCAUGCUCAAAGCAUGAUGAAAAAAAGAAAAAGAAAAAAAAGGAGAAAAAGAGAGAAAGAGAAAAAGAUAGUACAUGUCCAAAAGAAUGAGAAAAAAGAGAGAGAUGGAAUCAUACAAAAUGAGUCCAUACACCUUUCCACCAUAUUCCAUCC
rnacentral:lncRNA from 1 species